rnacentral:tRNA from 1 species
GGUUGGGUAGCAUGAGGGGAAUGCAAUGGAUUGCAAAUCCAGAGAGUGUGGGUUCGAGUCCCACCUCAACUU